rnacentral:misc_RNA from 1 species
AGAUUUGUUGUAACACCCUCCCACCAAGCGGUAUCCGGCGAGAGACCCGGGCCUUUAGAGGGGGGGAGGCAGCAGGUUUUGGGGUGGGAGUGGAACGAAAGGGUACUCUGGAAGAUGUGAUACUUUGGGAGGGGUCGGAUGGGCUUUGACAGCUGUAUAUAUAGCGUGGUCAUGUCUGGCCACUCGGUCAGGUUGUUAUUUUUUCUCCUUCUGCGUUUUGUGCGUUGGGGGUGGGGGGCCCCCUUCGAGGCCGGAAAAGUGAUUUUGAAGGCGUAGUUCGGGGUCAAAACAGCAGUCCGACAGCUAAGCUUAGGGGGCCUUAGGGGGCGCGCGUGCCCGCCGGAGCGGUCCGACAGCUGUACACUUAUUUUGCUAAAGGCAAAAGACAUAGCCGUAGUUAUAAAAAUUUUAGUAAUAUAAAUAAAUACAAAUACUUCAUAUCUUUUUUCCAAUUUGCUAUUUUGUAGAUGCGAGGUUGUAGAAUGCUCCCAACCACUCCGGGGGCGUUUGCCCUAGACGCCCCCGAAUCGUUCCGGGGUCGAUCCAGGCGCGCUCUACGGUCGAUUUGGAGGCGAUCGGUGUAUGUACCUCGCCGCCGGCGGACCCCUAUGGACCCUCCAAAAUCGAGUGGUCCCAGGGGGGCCGUUUUCUAGAAAUGGACCCUCUGGCCAAACGGACCCUCUGGCAGGACGGCCCCUCGGGCCAAAUGGUCCCUCUGGACCAGACGGACCCUCUGGGCCAUUUUCACAAAAUGGACCCUCUGGCCGAGGGGCCACGGCCCCCCUAGGGGGGCCAUUUGGGGCCGAAAAAAAAAAGUGCUCCAAAUCGCUCCGGGGUUGAUCCAGGCGCGCUCUACGGUCGAUUUGGAGGCGAUCGGUGUAUGUACCUCGCCGCCGGCGGACCCCUAUGGACCCUCCAAAAUCGAGUGGUCCCCAUGGUCUGAUAGUUCCGCCCUUGUAUUUUUUCAUUUUUGAGGCCGCCAGAAUAUAUUUUAUGCAAAUCCCUUUAUAUCUAUAUCAUUUUCCACGGGAAUGGGUGCGUCUUCGCGGCGAACGGGCCCUUCUCAACAAAAAAAUAAUAAAGUUGCCCCGAUCCGGCUGUGGACCUCACACGUGACUACUACCACUCCCCUAUACCCCCCCCAGAGGUGCCAGAUCGAAAGCACCCCUACCCGCCGACUUAUGCCCCCUUCGAGUUUUGAAAUCAAAAAAAUUUUGACUAAGUCCGCGUUUUUGUUCUGUUCGAGCCUCUGCGAAACGUCAAUUUUGCGGGCGUCAAGCCCACUUUCGACUGGACCCAUACAAAUUUCGUGCAAAAUCGGACCCGACUGGGCCCACUCCACCCAUCGCGUGCGAGGUCGCUUAAACAGACCUCGGUGAGUAUAUGUAGGGUGAGGUGAUUCCGAAAAACAAAAAGGUGGGCGAAGGGUAUCUUCUCUACGUUUAGCGGUUGACCUUCAUUCUAGCUAUGGUUCUGGGGGCAUUCGUGGGCUUGGGCGCGGCUGGUUGGGCGUUGGCUAGUUAGGAUUUUUUAACUAAGAUUUAGCGGCUCGCCUGUCUGUAAUUCGUGCUCUUAGGUUUCUUGUUCGCUGAGAUCGGCUCUCGAUGUCAAGGCUUCCAGCCCUGGGUUGGGCUUUCGACGUUCGGGGCGGUUCUGCGGCCCUCGGCGGCCUCAUGGCUCGGCUGAGGGUUGCCCGAAUGCCUAACGUUCUCGUACGAUAGGUUUCGAUGGGGCUUGUCGAUUGUUGGCCGCUGGCCAGCGCUGACAUCCCUAACUUCCGGGGGGGAGGUCGACCUCGAUAUCCGCCGACGCUUUAGCGGCGUCGGCGUGUUCGGGCGUCGAUUCCCUCCUUCCGCUCCCCCAAUGCCGCAGGGGCCGGGCACGACGUGUCUUUGGCCGCCAAAGCCUGCGCGCGGAGGAUGGAGGGAAAACUGCAGUGGGGGCAAUCGAAUGCCCGGUUCUUUCGAGCGGUACGCCGCCUCGCAGAGAUUCGGGCGGGCCCGUAUGCCUCGCGCGUUGGGCCCCGACCUCGAUUUGAUCACUUCUCGGGCGCGGCCAGCCGUGCUGCCCGCCCGACGCCAGAUCCGCGGGCACCCCAGCCGGGUGCCCCGGGGGCGGCGGCAGGUGAGA